CCUACGGGAGGCUGCAGUGAGGAAUAUUGGUCAAUGGACGAGAGUCUGAACCAGCCAAGUAGCGUGAAGGAUGACUGCCCUAUGGGUUGUAAACUUCUUUUAUAUGGGAAUAAACUGUUCCACGUGUGGGAUUUUGUAUGUACCAUAUGAAUAAGGAUCGGCUAACUCCGUGCCAGCAGCCGCGGUAAUACGGAGGAUCCGAGCGUUAUCCGGAUUUAUUGGGUUUAAAGGGAGCGUAGGUGGAUUGUUAAGUCAGUUGUGAAAGUUUGCGGCUCAACCGUAAAAUUGCAGUUGAAACUGGCAGUCUUGAGUACAGUAGAGGUGGGCGGAAUUCGUGGUGUAGCGGUGAAAUGCUUAGAUAUCACGAAGAACUCCGAUUGCGAAGGCAGUUCACUGGACUGCAACUGACACUGAGGCUCGAAAGUGUGGGUAUCAAACAGGAUUAGAUACCCUUGUAGUC
rnacentral:rRNA from 1 species